rnacentral:rRNA from 1 species
UACGAGGGGGGCAAGCGUUGUUCGGAAUUAUUGGGCGUAAAGGGCGCGUAGGCGGUGCGGUAAGUCACCUGUGAAAACUCUGGGCUCAACUCAGAGCCUGCAGGCGAAACUGCCGUGCUUGAGUGUGGGAGAGGUGCGUGGAAUUCCCGGUGUAGCGGUGAAAUGCGCAGAUAUCGGGAAGAACACCCGUGGCGAAGGCGGCGUCUCUGGGACGGUACUGACGCUGAGACGCGAAAGCGUGGGGAGCGAACAGG